rnacentral:tRNA from 1 species
GGCUUUGUAGUCUAAUUUGAAAGACGUCAGGCUGCAAUCCUGAAGAUGUAAUUGAACCUUGGCUU